rnacentral:rRNA from 1 species
GACGAACGCUGGCGGCGUGCUUAACACAUGCAAGUCGAGCGGAGCGGCGAACGGGUGAGUAACGGGUGAGUAAAUGCCCCCCUCUCUGGGAUACCAGUUGGAAACGGCCGCUAAUACCGGAUAGUGGGGGAUGACUCGCGUCCUAUCAGCUUGUUGGUGGGGUAGUGACCUACCAAGGCGUCGACGGGUAGCCGGCCUGAGAGGGCGACCGGCCACAGUGGGCUGGGAUACGGCCCAAACUCCUACGGGAGGCAGCAGUGGGGAAUAUUGCACAAUGGGGGAAACCCUGAUGCAGCAACGCGCGUGCGUGAUGACGGGCUUCGGGGUGUAAACCGCUUUCAGCCAUGACGCGGUAGUGUCCGAAGAAGCACCGGCUAACUACGUGCCAGCCGCCGCGGUAAUUC